UCCACCCAUUUAACCUUAUAACCCAUCAAAUUAAAUGAGUUGAUAGGUUGACUCAACUCAUUUUUACUAAAUGAGUUGAGUCAACCCAUCAACUCAUUUAACUCUAAACUCAUUGGGUAAUGAGU